rnacentral:rRNA from 1 species
GCUUUACACAUGCAAGUCGAACGGCAGCACGGGCUUCGGCCUGGUGGCGAGUGGCGAACGGGUGAGUAAUAUAUCGGAACGUACCCAAGAGUGGGGGAUAACGUUGCGAAAGUUACGCUAAUACCGCAUACGAUCUAUGGAUGAAAGCAGGGGACCGCAAGGCCUUGUGCUCCUGGAGCGGCCGAUAUCUGAUUAGCUAGUAGGUAGGGUAAUGGCCUACCUAGGCGACGAUCAGUAGCUGGUCUGAGAGGACGACCAGCCACACUGGAACUGAGACACGGUCCAGACUCCUACGGGAGGCAGCAGUGGGGAAUUUUGGACAAUGGGCGCAAGCCUGAUCCAGCAAUGCCGCGUGAGUGAAGAAGGCCUUCGGGUUGUAAAGCUCUUUUGUCAGGGAAGAAACGGUAGAGGCUAAUAUCCUUUGCUAAUGACGGUACCUGAAGAAUAAGCACCGGCUAACUACGUGCCAGCAGCCGCGGUAAUACGUAGGGUGCAAGCGUUAAUCGGAAUUACUGGGCGUAAAGCGUGCGCAGGCGGUUUUGUAAGUCUGUCGUGAAAGCCCCGGGCUCAACCUGGGAACUGCGAUGGAGACUGCAAGGCUUGAAUCUGGCAGAGGGGGGUAGAAUUCCACGUGUAGCAGUGAAAUGCGUAGAGAUGUGGAGGAACACCGAUGGCGAAGGCAGCCCCCUGGGUCAAGAUUGACGCUCAUGCACGAAAGCGUGGGGAGCAAACAGGAUUAGAUACCCUGGUAGUCCACGCCCUAAACGAUGUCUACUAGUUGUUGGUGGAGUAAAAUCCAU